CUCCCCAAAAUUCCCCCAAAUUCCUCAAUCCCUCUCCCCCCUUCCCACGAUUUCAGCCCCAACUCGAUCGUGCGCCCUCCGUCGACCACCAUGAGAUCCCCUUAUCUCUCUCACUCUCUCUUGAUCCGCCAGCGGAGCUCGCCCAUUUGCAACGCCACCGCGUACCCUCUCCCUCUCUCGAUCUCGAUCUCGAGCUCACAAAUCGCAAAGGCGUCCCCGCUUACUCUCUCUCCCUCCCACAAGAUCGAGCCCUCUCUCCUCCGCGAUCUCGCCGUCGAUCUCCUCCGCCUUCAGCCCUCCUCCGUGAUCUCUCCGUCGACCUCCUCCUCUGUCUUUCUCUCGAGCUCUCUCUCUCUCUGGAUCCCUCUCGUGCGUGGUGGCUGGUGAAGCCUUUGGAAAUGGAAGUAUGCGAUAUCUGACUGAUGACUUCCCCAAUAUCUACUCGCAUUCAACUUUGUCUACAGAAGAACUUGGUCCUUUCAAAAAUCAUCAGAACAUGCUUGCUGGAUUGGAUUAUGUUGUUGCUCUUCAGAGUGAUGUUUUUAUUUAUACAUAUGAUGGAAAUAUGGCAAAGGCCGUGCAUGGACACAGGCACUUUGAGAACUUCAGAAAAACCAUAAGUCCUAACAGAAGCUAAUCAUGCUGCAGAAUCAUAAUUGUGUUGAUCAAUCACGUUAUGCUGACCAAGGGAGCAGCUUUGCUUUGUGGCUUUGAUUUGUCGUACAAUAUCAAUCCUAUGUUCAGCCAGCUUAUUAUGAUUGUUGAUAUUAUACAAGGAGCAAUUCUCGGCUUUUUUUGUUGGCUGUGGUUUAUGAUAUCGCUGGUAGCUGCAACAAAGGAAACAAAGUUUGUCUUUGAUAUUGCAAUAAAGGUAGGUGGCCUUACUUUCAGACUCAAAUAUAUAGAGUCUGGCAGCAACUAAGGAAAGAAAGUCAUCUUGUCGAACAACAACCUGAAGAAGUGACAUUGUGCAAGAUUCAUUUUGUCAAGAUCUUUCCAACCUUGUAACUUACGUAUCAUUUAUGCGCUCAAGAGAGUUUUGAAGAAAAUUUUCACUAAAGAAAGUAGAAUGCAUGUCGAUACAGAAAGAAGAAAAAUAUGUACAUCGUUGUAUAAUGGUUAUUAGCUUUUGCAUU